rnacentral:rRNA from 1 species
GUUUGGGAGGUCGUUACGACGACCGCAUGGUGAAGGAAAGUGCCAAGAAAAGCUAGUAAUGUGAUGAAGAUAUCUUACCCGUACCCGAAACCGACACAGGUAGGGAGGUUGAGAAUACCAAGGGGCGCGAGAUAACUCUCUCUAAGGAACUCGGCAAAAUGGCCCCGUAACUUCGGAAGAAGGGGUGCCCACGAGAGUGGGUCGCAGUGAAGAGAUCCAGGCGACUGUUUACCAAAAACACAGGUCUCCGCAAACUCGAAAGAGGACGUAUGGGGGCUGACGCCUGCCCAGUGCCGGAAGGUUAAGGAAGUUGGUCAGUUUUCGGAUGAAGCUAGCGACCGAAGCCCCGGUGAACGGCGGCCGUAACUAUAACGGUCCUAAGGUAGCGAAAUUCCUUGUCGGGUAAGUUCCGACCCGCACGAAAGGCGUAACGAUCUGGAUGGUGUCUCAGAGAGAGACUCGGCGAAAUAGGAAUGUCUGUGAAGAUACGGACUACCUGCACCUGGACAGAAAGACCCUAUGAAGCUUUACUGUAGCCUGGAAUUGUGUUCGGGCUUGGCUUGCGCAGGAUAGGUGGGAAGCGAUGAAGUAUUUCUUGUGGGGAAUAUGGAGCUAACGGUGAGAUACCACUCUGGCGAAGCUAGAAUCCUAACUCAUCUCCGUCAGCCGGAGAGAGGACAGUUUCAGGUGGGCUGUUUGACUGGGGCGGUCGCCUCCUAAAAGGUAACGGAGGCGCGCAAAGGUUCUCUCAGCACGCUUGGAAACCGUGCGGCGAGUGUAAAGGCAAAAAGAGAGCUUGACUGUGAGACCGACAAGUCGAACAGGUACGAAAGUAGGCCUUAGUGAUCCGACGGCACAGCAUGGAAUGGCCGUCGCUCAACGGAUAAAAGUUACUCUAGGGAUAACAGGCUGAUCUCCCCCAAGAGUUCACAUCGACGGGGAGGUUUGGCACCUCGAUGUCGGCUCAUCGCAGCCUGGGCGGAAGUACGUCCCAAGGGUUGGGCUGUUCGCCCAUUAAAGCGGUACGUGAGCUGGGUUCAGAACGUCGUGAGACAGUUCGGUCCAUAUCCGGUGCAGGCGUAAGAACAUUGAGAGGAGUCCUCCUUAGUACGAGAGGACCGGGAGGAACGAACCGCUGGUGUACCAGUUAUUGUACCAACAGUAGACGCUGGGUAGCCACGUUCGGAGCGGAUAACCGCUGAAAGCAUCUAAGUGGGAAGCCCACCUCAAGAUGAGUGUUCUCACUACUUUAAGUAGGUAAGGUCACGGGCAGAACACCCGUUCAUAGGCUCUAAGUGGAAGUACAGUAAUGUAUGAAGCUGAGGAGUGCUAACAGACCGAGGGC